GCCAGCGUCCGAUUUUUUCCGUCAUGGUUUUUCCGUCAGUUUGUUCCGCGUGGCCCCCCACCCCUCCAAUCGGUUCCUCCGCCACACGUCACGGUCAGUUUCCCCGAUGCCGCUCCGCCGCCCAGCUCACAAUUCGUCGGUCGUUCUUCCGUCGCCGAUACUGGGCCUGGCGCCGCCGGCGAGCCUCUGCGUGCCCCCGCAGUCAAUCCAACGCCCUCCCGUUCCUGACGCCGCUCACUCCUCCCGUCGCCGGGUUUCCCGAAGCCGCUUCGCUGCCCAGCUCGCGAUCCGUCCGCCGUUCCUCCCGUCGCCGAUCCGGGGACUAGCACCGCCGGCCAGCUCCUGCAUGUGCCCGCAGUCAAGGCGACGACCUCUCGUUCCCGACGCCGCUCACUCCUCCCAUCGCCGUUCUGGGAGACCGAUCUGCCGUCGAUCCUCCUCCGGCCUACCUUCUGAUCAGGAGGUGCUGCGUCACCAUCUACCCGUGCUAGAGAACUGUUGAAGGAGAGAAGGGAAGGCAAGGCAAGGCAGCCUCUAUCUGGCUCAGAGGAAGAGCUCCCGAGGCCUCAAGAUGCACGCAGGGAGAAGGUUCGUAGCGGGGCAGAGGAAGAGCUCCCGAGGCCUCAAGAUGCACGUAGGGAGAAGGUUCGUGGCGGGGCAGAGCAGGCCAGGUAUGGAUCGGUUCCUGAUUUAGAAUCCUGCCGCAGUUCAUGAUCUAAUCAGUGUAUACAUGCAUUAGCCGGACGUUCUCUGUAGCCUGAGUUGAUGUUAUAGCUUUGGGAAAAAUGGUAGACACUACCUGAAACUAUUAUUUGCACUGUUGUUGAUAUGUUAUCAUGCCCUGUUCUACUCCUGCUCUCUGUUUCUUGAGGUUUAGAAUAGUUAGAACCCAAUUAGGCAGUAGAGAGAUUCAAAGAUCUUCUCUACUUGUUAGGUGGUUCUUCAGUGAAUCGAGAUUGACUAGUGGCCUCGACGAGGAAAGCACUAAAGAACACAAGGUUAGAAAAUACUAAAAGAUUUUGCCAAAGAUCUUUCAGGCAGAUAUAUUAAAAAUUGAUCAGCACUUGUAAAAAGACCGUAUCCAGCUAGUUGAUUUUAUGCUGAUCAUCCAGUCCAGAUAUUGUCACUGUCCAUGUUAGGGGAAGUAUCCUGAUGCUUUUAGGUGAUUCAUAAUUCUCUUUAUUUCCUCCUUUUUAAAGAGUUGAAAUGAAAUUACCAGUGAAAUCUGUAUGUCGCAAGAGUUUUUUUUCUUCAUUGCAUCGAUUUGAUCACCAACCUUACAUCACGCUUGUGAGAAUUUUCUCUUUUUUCCCCCUGCUCGUCGGGUCCGUUGGAGCCUUCCGGUGUGUCUGUCCAUGAUAUUGUCCUAUCCGGCUAUCCCCAAAACAUGAUCUACCUUUCUUGCAACCUGGAAGGCUUGUCCGUACUCUAUCUAGUACAGAUGAGUCAGCCACCUUCUCCAUUGAUGAAAAUGUCACAUGGGAAUUAUUAUAAACUUUGAAAAAGUGAAAUCCAACGGUGAAGAUUUUUAAACAGCCAAUCUCAUUUUCAACCUAAUUUGCUAGUAUGACUUUCUAUUUUCUUUACAUGUUUAGAAUACAAAAUGAAUUUUAUCCGGAAAACAUUUGGUGAUACAUUCCAUUACAGCAUUAUGUAUACACUUUAGUGACGGUUGGGAUGGGAUUUUAUGCUUAAGCCGCAGAUAUGUCGGAUUACCAUUCACUGUCAUGUUUUGAUGAUUAGGAUCCUUCAUGGCUCUUCUGGGAUCUGCUCGUGUUCAUGCGUUGUAUGUCAGCUCUCAAUGUCUAUUGCACGGAAGCAUGCUUCCCUGAAUAGCUGUCAUUGUUUCCAAGUUAAAUCAAAUGCCAACCUUGAAUGGAAUUUAAGAAAUGUGGAUAAUCAAAUGCUAUAUCGGAUCAGUUCUAUAAUUUGCAACCAUUGUGUCGUACACAGUGGUAUUCUUUCUUGCUGGUCCACUCAAAUUUAAAUUGUGGCCAUUGUGAUAGCUCAGUUUCAGCUGGCUGCUCAGUGGGGUGUGAUUUUUGUCAUGAACUAUUGACAUCUGCCUGCAGCUCCAAGCCUCCAAGAUCGCAUUAGAGCAGAUUGGUCAGAACCAAAAAGCUUGACUUUUUUUUUUGCAUUAUGGAUGACUUCCAAACAAGCUAUCAGAUGAUGUUGAAGGCUGAAAGAUCUCGACAGAAGUGUGGUAGACAUCCAUUUGCAUGCCUGUGAUGUAAUCCUUUCUAAGCCUUCUAGCAUCAUAUGCUUGUGCCUGAUGCAGGUGAAGGCUGGUGAACACAUGCUAUUCCGUUCCUUCAUUUGUAUGGCAAUCAUUGGCUUGAUUCUAGAUUUAAGAUAUGUAUCUACAAUGAGAUAACGACAUUUGCAAAUAAAAGUCUCUAAUGCUGAGAAUUUUACUCAA